rnacentral:tRNA from 1 species
AGAGCUGUGGCUUAGUGGUAGAGCUUCUGCUUGGUGUGCAAAAGAUCCCAGGUUCAAUCAUAGGCAUCUCUG